AAAUUGAAGAGUUUGAUCAUGGCUCAGAUUGAACGCUGGCGGCAGGCCUAACACAUGCAAGUCGAGCGGAAACGAGUUAUCAGAACCUUCGGGGGACGAUAGCGGCGUCGAGCGGCGGACGGGUGAGUAAUGCCUAGGAAAUUGCCCUGAUGUGGGGGAUAACCAUUGGAAACGAUGGCUAAUACCGCAUGAUGCCUACGGGCCAAAGAGGGGGACCUUCGGGCCUCU
rnacentral:rRNA from 1 species